rnacentral:rRNA from 1 species
UACGGAGGAUGCAAGCGUUAUCCGGAAUGCUUGGGCGUAAAGCGUCCGCAGGUGGCUGUGUAAGUCUGCUGUCAAAGAGCAAAGCUCAACUUUGUAAAGGCAGUGGAAACUACAUGGCUAGAGUGCGUUCGGGGCAGAGGGAAUUCCUGGUGUAGCGGUGAAAUGCGUAGAGAUCAGGAAGAACACCGGUGGCGAAAGCGCUCUGCUAGGCCGCAACUGACACUGAGGGACGAAAGCUAGGGGAGCGAAUGGG